CCUACGGGAGGCAGCAGUGAGGAAUAUUGGUCAAUGGGCGAGAGCCUGAACCAGCCAAGUCGCGUGAAGGAUGAAGGAUCUAUGGUUUGUAAACUUCUUUUAUAUGGGAAUAAAGUGUGGAACGUGUUCCUUUUUGUAUGUACCAUAUGAAUAAGCAUCGGCUAACUCCGUGCCAGCAGCCGCGGUAAUACGGAGGAUGCGAGCGUUAUCCGGAUUUAUUGGGUUUAAAGGGUGCGUAGGUGGUUAAUUAAGUCAGCGGUGAAAGUUUGUGGCUCAACCAUAAAAGUGCCGUUGAUACUGGUUGACUUGAGUAUAUUUGAGGUAGGCGGAAUGCGUGGUGUAGCGGUGAAAUGCAUAGAUAUCACGCAGAACUCCGAUUGCGAAGGCAGCUUACUAAACUAUAACUGACACUGAAGCACGAAAGCGUGGGGAGCAAACAGGAUUAGAUACCCUAGUAGUC
rnacentral:rRNA from 1 species